rnacentral:rRNA from 1 species
AAAAAUUUAUUGCCCCAAGAGGAGCUCGCGUCUGAUUAGCUAGUUGGUGAGGUAAAAGCUCACCAAGGCAGCGAUCAGUAGCUGGUCUGAGAGGACGAUCAGCCACACUGGGACUGAGACACGGCCCAGACUCCUACGGGAGGCAGCAGUGGGGAAUUUUCCGCAAUGGGCGAGAGCCUGACGGAGCAAGACCGCGUGAGGGAGGAAGGCUCUUGGGUUGUAAACCUCUUUUCUCAGGGAAGAAGCUCUGACGGUACCUGAGGAAUCAGCCUCGGCUAACUCCGUGCCAGCAGCCGCGGUAAUACGGAGGAGGCAAGCGUUAUCCGGAAUUAUUGGGCGUAAAGCGUCCGCAGGUGGCGAUUCAAGUCUGCUGUCAAAGCACGGGGCUUAACUCCGUUAAGGCAGUGGAAACUGAAUAGCUAGAGUGCCGUAGGGGUAGAGGGAAUUCCCGGUGUAGCGGUGAAAUGCGUAGAGAUCGGGAAGAACAUCGGUGGCGAAAGCGCUCUACUGGACGGCAACUGACACUCAGGGACGAAAGCUAGGGGAGCGAAUGGGAUUAGAUACCCCAGUAGUCCUAGCUGUAAACGAUGGAUACUAGGUGUAGCUUGUAUCGACCCGAGCUGUGCCGAAGCUAACGCGUUAAGUAUCCCGCCUGGGGAGUACGCACGCAAGUGUGAAACUCAAAGGAAUUGACGGGGGCCCGCACAAGCGGUGGAGUAUGUGGUUUAAUUCGACGCAACGCGAAGAACCUUACCAGGGCCUGACAUGUCCGGAAUCCCGGUGAAAGCUGGGAGUGCCUUCGGGAGCCGGAACACAGGUGG